GAAGGUAAGAAAAAAAAAACAAAAACAAAUAUAAUACGAAAUGCCGCAAUCACCAAAUACCAUACUGCUAGGAUUUCUAUCUUGCUCAUGAGGAUGAUUGAUUUUUUUCU
rnacentral:ribozyme from 14 species